rnacentral:rRNA from 1 species
AACGAACGCUGGCGGCAGGCCUAACACAUGCAAGUCGAGCGGACCUUUCGGGGUCAGCGGCGGACGGGUGAGUAACGCGUGGGAAUAUGCCCUUCUCUACGGAAUAGUCCCGGGAAACUGGGGGUAAUACCGUAUACGCCCUUUGGGGGAAAGAUUUAUCGGGGAAGGAUUAGCCCGCGUUGGAUUAGGUAGUUGGUGGGGUAAUGGCCUACCAAGCCGACGAUCCAUAGCUGGUUUGAGAGGAUGAUCAGCCACACUGGGACUGAGACACGGCCCAGACUCCUACGGGAGGCAGCAGUGGGGAAUCUUAGACAAUGGGGGCAACCCUGAUCUAGCCAUGCCGCGUGAGUGAUGAAGGCCUUAGGGUUGUAAAGCUCUUUCAGCUGGGAAGAUAAUGACGGUACCAGCAGAAGAAACCCCGGCUAACUCCGUG